UCAGUGUCAGGUAACUAGGUGGGGUUAAUACGGUGGGUGCGAUCUGUUUCGUGAGUUAUUGGUCGGAAAGGGCUCGUAGGUGGUGUGGCGCGACGUCGUUGAAAUUCCGGGGCUUAACGCCGGGCGUGCAGGCGAUACGGGCAUAACUUGAGUACUGUAGGGGAGACUGGAAUUCCUGGUGUAGCGGUGAAAUGCGCAGAUAUCAGGAGGAACACCGGUGGCGAAGGCGGGUCUCUGGGCAGUAACUGACGCUGAGGAGCGAAAGCAUGGGUAGCGAACAGGAUUAGAUACCCUGGUAGUC
rnacentral:rRNA from 1 species